UGAUGAAAGGACCACAAACGACACAGAAUUAUACGACUAACGGUUCUCUGCGGUGUGAUAAAGAACAUGACCCACGAACCAUGAAAAAUGGCCUAGCCUGGGAUAUUGAUAAUUUCUGUAUAUAAUAAUCUUCGGGAUAUAGGCUUUCUAGAAAUGUUUUUCUUUUUUUUCAUAUGUUCUAUACUAUUUCGUUAAUAUGACGUUGAAUAUUGUGGUAUUUAAUGUUAAAAAAUUAACAUUUCGGGAUACACGUCACAACAAUAAACCUCCAAUGACCAUGUACAAUGUACAUGAACCUAUAAAUCUCUGAAUAUAUCAAGUUAUAUGCACUCAAAUAGCUAGAAUGGCUUAUUCAAUGAUCAUAAUAAGCAUUUUUGACCAAAUUUGGGAAAUGGAAAUAAGAAAUAUUUUGGAAAUGAUGUUCAAAGCCGUGAUUGUUCAACUUUACUUUUAAAUUAUUUUUACUUGAAUUUUAAAAUACUGAAAUAAGAAGAAUAAAUAUAGUAUGUAGUUUAUUUACAUGGUGAAAGAAGUGAAUUAUGGAACAAUUCUGUUUCAUAUCAUAUUCCAUAGUUUUUUUUUUUUUAUUUAUCUUUCUUAUUUUUUUUUAAGUAUCAAAACGACCGAGUAUCGAAAGCAAUGGUAACGAAAUAAGUUGACACCGCGUCUCGUCAAAACAUGUUGAAUUCGAAUUUACUCGGAAUUACACGUUCAACGAGCAUUUGCUGUGAAACCUGAUUAAAGGAAAAUUACUGUAGACACCUAAUCGUUUACAUAUGUCAGCAAGUCCUCAAAAGCAGCUUUAGGGGUUCCCAGGAGAUUCUGAUGCUCACUGUUAGACUUUCACUGUUGUCAAAAUCCAACCUUAUUUUCUCUUUUCUCAAAACUUCAGCUCUCAAAAACUUGUUUGAUUAAUUAUGUCACUCCUGUUUUGUUGAACAUGGUGUUGUCAGUAAUAGGUUCAAGUUCUUCUAUGUCUUGUUGUAGGUGAUUUGUACAGAAGCGAGCCCCGGCAGGAAUGAUGGCCUCUUUUGAAAUGAAGAUUUCAUGCCUUACUCCUACUGGGACUACAACUAACUUUGGACCUGGUCACUCGCAGAUACAGCAUGAAGUGUGCCCUCUUGAUGUAUAUGGGGAUGGGAGUGAUACAGAAGGGGGACUAAUUGGAAGAACUGCUGCUGCUGGUGGUGGUGCUGGACUGUCUUGAAUCUGUUGCCUAACCGACUUGAUAUUCUUCUGUUUAAUAUGGGAGCAACACACACAAUCUGGCAUAUAUUGCACAGAAAAUCAUGAUCAGAUGGUGCCCUCCAUAUCAGAGUGGUGAUCACUGACCUAUAUUUCUUUGAAAUCCUGGAUCUGUGUUUUGGUUUUACUUUCCAUGGACAGUUGAAACAGAGAAAGAAUUAGGGACCACUCCUUGGCAUAUCUGAAAUAUUUAUGUCAUAUACAUGUAAUUAAAAUAUACAAUUUGGGUUGGAUGAAAAUCUUAUCUUCAUGUUAAACCCAUUAGCCUAGGUUAUUUUUCCUAAAAUCUAAUUAUAAAUCAAUUAACUUGUUAAUUAAUGCUUGGUGAAUCAAUUAAUAAAUUGUAUUCAAAAACUUGGAAUUAUUUUUUUCCACUAAUAAACUGAAAAUGUGUAUCUUCAAA